ACCUUAUAAUAUAUUACUAGACCGAAAGCUGCGUGCGCGUUCAGCACAAAACAAAUGAGAUUAGGCUCCGCCUACCGCGAUCAUUUGAAGACAAAAAUAAGCCCUCAUUGACAUUCAUGAGCAUGAAGAUAUUCAUAAUCCGGCCUUUUCAUUGGCUAAGAGCGUCAUUAAUACGCGAUUUCCCCGAUUCUUUGUCAUCGAUACUAGUGGUAUCGUGUUACAGAAUUAAUUAUUCAUUUGACCUCAUUACGUCAUCUAAUUUAUUCAUUCUGAAACUUUUCUUUCCACACAAAAAUGGACCUACGAACACUCCGGUGAGUUGAGUUUGAAGAACAAGAAAAACAGUAGAGGUCUACCCGGUACCUAUGGUUAAACAUGAUGAUCAUAAGUGCAUGCAUCAUUUUGCAGAUUCUCAUCCAGGAUGAUGCAGCUCUACAAUUUCCAUGGAGGUGAUUGAUGAUGUUAAACAAUUGGUGAAGUAGGCCUAAUAGAACAGUGAUAGGACCACAAAGAGAAAUACAACCUACAGCAGUUAUAUGAGACUGGUGUAACAGAUGUUUUCAUUCAAGAAAUCCAACAAAUUGAAGAGUGACUUAGCUUAGGAAGCACUUGAUAAAGAUGGAAAAGUUUUUUUUUUCAAGUCCAAUUUUUUUUUUUUUUUAAUUAUAAUCACAACCCCAAAUUCAUGAAGUAUGAAAUUUCCUGUUGAUUUUCAUUGAAACUGGUUGCAAAAGGAGAAGCUAUAAACAUACAAAUAGGAGCGGCGAAGUGAAGUUGAAAGUGGGGGGGCAUGCACAGGGAAAAUGCUGUAUUAUGUGAAAUUUUUAAGAAGUUGCAAGAGAGCAAAAUUUUGACAUUUUUAAAAAGAAAAUCCAAUUUUGUGAUAGAUUUCAACAAAAUAUUCAAAAUGAUAUAUUUCACCCUUUUUUUUGGGGGGGGGCAAGAGUCCUUCAAGCCCCCCCCCCCCCUUCAUCUGUAGUGUACGAAACUGCUUAUCUACCCCCACUCACAUGAAUUAUUAAACUUCAUGCACAAAGGAUUUCCUUAUUGUUUUCUUGUUUCAAAGGGCACUCGUCAUGGUGACCAUAAAACGGGUCCUUCUCAGGUGAAAGGGGCACAGAACAAGUUCUUUAGGAGCACUUUUCUUGGGUAAAAGGGGGCAGUUAUUCGAGAAAGGGCACUUACAAGAAGGCGAGGGGGCACUUUUUAACACAUAAAACGGGCCCUCAGAUGAAAUGGCACAGAACACGUUCGGGGGGGGGGGCAUUUUUUGGUAAAAAUUUGCAUACAAGGAAGAGCACUUGGUAACACCUAAAACAGGUUCUCGUCAGGUGAAAGGGACACAGUACACGUUUGUGAGGGGGCAUUUUUGUUACAUAAAAUUAAAGGCACUUUUCAGUGCUUCAAAAAGUAGGGGGAACUGUGCCCCCCAGGAUCGCUGCCCCUGCAUACAAAAAACAUUUUCGUUCGAUUCAAUGUAUUAACAUACGCUUAAGAAAAAAAGUAAGGCUAAAUCCUCUGAUAAUGUGAUAUUUUUUUCUGGCUAUUAAUAAAAUUCACAACUAACCAGAAAAUGCCUUCAUGUCUUUUAUUUGUAUUCAUAUAGUAUUUGAACAGAGCUAAAAUGAAAGGGAUUUGGAAUUGGCAAAAUGAGAUGGAGAUCGAGAGAGAGAAAGAGUGAUGAGAAGGGGAUUGAAAAGAGAUGAGAAAGAAAUGGAGGGGCACGUAUGAAGAGAUAAUUUAGAGGGGGGGGGGUAGAGAGCACGAAUGGUGGGAAGUAGGAACAAAGGGGUUGAAGAGAAGACGAGAUUUAUGGAAACCAGGAGACAGAUAACAAGUGGGAAAAGAAGAAGGAAAUAUAUGUAGGAGAAAGGCGGCACCAAAAGAACGUGAGUGGGAAAAUUAUUAAAUGGAAAAAACAGAGCAAGAAAUGCUGGAGAAUAAAGGGGACAGGAAACGUAUCAAACAUGAUA